GGACACCUCGAAUAAUGGUCAGUUCGCUUGGCGGUACGUCAAGAAGUGCAAGUUCGACUCCUGCGGUGUCCACCA
rnacentral:tRNA from 1 species